rnacentral:rRNA from 1 species
GAGUAGCUGGUUCUCCCCGAAAGCUAUUUAGGUAGCGCCUCGUGAAUUCAUCUCCGGGGGUAGAGCACUGUUUCGGCAAGGGGGUCAUCCCGACUUACCAACCCGAUGCAAACUGCGAAUACCGGAGAAUGUUAUCACGGGAGACACACGGCGGGUGCUAACGUCCGUCGUGAAGAGGGAAACAACCCAGACCGCCAGCUAAGGUCCCAAAGUCAUGGUUAAGUGGGAAACGAUGUGGGAAGGCCCAGACAGCCAGGAUGUUGGCUUAGAAGCAGCCAUCAUUUAAAGAAAGCGUAAUAGCUCACUGGUCGAGUCGGCCUGCGCGGAAGAUGUAACGGGGCUAAACCAUGCACCGAAGCUGCGGCAGCGACACUAUGUGUUGUUGGGUAGGGGAGCGUUCUGUAAGCCUGUGAAGGUGUGCUGUGAGGCAUGCUGGAGGUAUCAGAAGUGCGAAUGCUGACAUAAGUAACGAUAAAGCGGGUGAAAAGCCCGCUCGCCGGAAGACCAAGGGUUCCUGUCCAACGUUAAUCGGGGCAGGGUGAGUCGACCCCUAAGGCGAGGCCGAAAGGCGUAGUCGAUGGGAAACAGGUUAAUAUUCCUGUACUUGGUGUUACUGCGAAGGGGGGACGGAGAAGGCUAUGUUGGCCGGGCGACGGUUGUCCCGGUUUAAGCGUGUAGGCUGGUUUUCCAGGCAAAUCCGGAAAAUCAAGGCUGAGGCGUGAUGACGAGGCACUACGGUGCUGAAGCGACAAAUGCCCUGCUUCCAGGAAAAGCCUCUAAGCAUCAGGUAACAUCAAAUCGUACCCCAAACCGACACAGGUGGUCAGGUAGAGAAUACCAAGGCGCUUGAGAGAACUCGGGUGAAGGAACUAGGCAAAAUGGUGCCGUAACUUCGGGAGAAGGCACGCUGAUAUGUAGGUGAAGCGACUUGCUCGUGGAGCUGAAAUCAGUCGAAGAUACCAGCUGGCUGCAACUGUUUAUUAAAAACACAGCACUGUGCAAACACGAAAGUGGACGUAUACGGUGUGACGCCUGCCCGGUGCCGGAAGGUUAAUUGAUGGGGUUAGCGGCAACGCGAAGCUCUUGAUCGAAGCCCCGGUAAACGGCGGCCGUAACUAUAACGGUCCUAAGGUAGCGAAAUUCCUUGUCGGGUAAGUUCCGACCUGCACGAAUGGCGUAAUGAUGGCCAGGCUGUCUCCACCCGAGACUCAGUGAAAUUGAACUCGCUGUGAAGAUGCAGUGUACCCGCGGCAAGACGGAAAGACCCCGUGAACCUUUACUAUAGCUUGACACUGAACAUUGAGCCUUGAUGUGUAGGAUAGGUGGGAGGCUUUGAAGUGUGGACGCCAGUCUGCAUGGACGCCGACCUUGAAAUACCACCCUUUAAUGUUUGAAUG